GCCCUACGGGGCGCAGCAGUGGGGAAUAUUGCACAAUGGGGGAAACCCUGAUGCAGCGACGCCGCGUGAGUGAAGAAGUAUUUCGGUAUGUAAAGCUCUAUCAGCAGGGAAGAUAAUGACGGUACCUGACUAAGAAGCCCCGGCUAACUACGUGCCAGCAGCCGCGGUAAUACGUAGGGAGCAAGCGUUAUCCGGAUUUACUGGGUGUAAAGGGCGUGUAGGCGGGCCUGCACGUCAGAAGUGAAAUCUGGGGGCUUAACCCCCAAACUGCUUUUGA
rnacentral:rRNA from 1 species